rnacentral:rRNA from 1 species
UACAGAGGUCUCAAGCGUUGUUCGGAUUCAUUGGGCGUAAAGGGUGCGUAGGCGGCGCGGUAAGUCGGGUGUGAAAUCUCGGAGCUUAACUCCGAAACUGCAUUCGAUACUGCCGUGCUUGAGGACUGGAGAGGAGACUGGAAUUUACGGUGUAGCGGUGAAAUGCGUAGAUAUCGUAAGGAAGACCAGUGGCGAAGGCGGGUCUCUGGACAGUUCCUGACGCUGAGGAACGAAAGCCAGGGGAGCGAACGGG